rnacentral:rRNA from 1 species
GUUAGGAAUAUUGGACAAUGGGCGCAAGCCUGAUCCAGCCAUGCCGCGUGAACGAUGAAGGCCUUCGGGUUGUAAAGUUCUUUAGCCGAUGAUUAUAAUGACUGUAGUCGGAAAAUAAGCCCCGGCUAACUUCGUGCCAGCAGCCGCGGUAAUACGAAGGGGGCGAGCGUUAUUCGGAAUCACUGGGCGUAAAGCGUGCGUAGGCGGUCUCGUAAGUUAGGAGUGAAAGCCCAGGGCUCAACCUUGGAAUUGCUCUUAAAACUGCAAGGCUAGAAUCUCGGAGAGGAUAGCGGAAUUUCCAGUGUAGCAGUGAAAUGCGUAGAUAUUGGAAGGAACACCAGUGGCGUAAGCGGCUAUCUGGACGAGUAUUGACGCUGAGGCACGAAAGCGUGGGGAUCAAACAGGAUUAGAUACCCUGGUAGUCC